rnacentral:rRNA from 1 species
ACGCUGGCGGCAGGCCUAACACAUGCAAGUCGAGCGGCAGAGAGAAGCUUGCUUUUCUUGAGAGCGGCGGACGGGUGAGUAAUGCCUAGGAAUCUGCCUGGUAGUGGGGGAUAACGUUCGGAAACGGACGCUAAUACCGCAUACGUCCUACGGGAGAAAGCAGGGGACCUUCGGGCCUUGCGCUAUCAGAUGAGCCUAGGUCGGAUUAGCUAGUUGGUGGGGUAAUGGCUCACCAAGGCGACGAUCCGUAACUGGUCUGAGAGGAUGAUCAGUCACACUGGAACUGAGACACGGUCCAGACUCCUACGGGAGGCAGCAGUGGGGAAUAUUGGACAAUGGGCGAAAGCCUGAUCCAGCCAUGCCGCGUGUGUGAAGAAGGUCUUCGGAUUGUAAAGCACUUUAAGUUGGGAGGAAGGGCAGUUGCCUAAUACGUAACUGUUUUGACGUUACCGACAGAAUAAGCACCGGCUAACUCUGUGCCAGCAGCCGCGGUAAUACAGAGGGUGCAAGCGUUAAUCGGAAUUACUGGGCGUAAAGCGCGCGUAGGUGGUUUGUUAAGUUGGAUGUGAAAUCCCCGGGCUCAACCUGGGAACUGCAUUCAAAACUGACUGACUAGAGUAUGGUAGAGGGUGGUGGAAUUUCCUGUGUAGCGGUGAAAUGCGUAGAUAUAGGAAGGAACACCAGUGGCGAAGGCGACCACCUGGACUGAUACUGACACUGAGGUGCGAAAGCGUGGGGAGCAAAC